rnacentral:lncRNA from 13 species
GUAAUUGUCUUUGACUCUACCUCACCCAAUUUUCCCCUCAUGCCUGCCCCAGCCAUUCACCAAGUUUGCGUACAUUUCUGUUUGUUCUGUAUGUGUCCUUUUUCCAGGCUCUUGAUAUCUAAUGCCAGGCUUAUUGCAAAAUCCUUCUCACUUAUCUUGCUUUGAUUUUCAAACUGCAUAAGAUAUCAAGAACUAAAGGAACACUAUUUUCCACAUCAUGCUACUUUACUGAUUAGAGACUUGCAAUAUUACCUCAUUGCAGUGAGCAUGUUCCCAGUGUAGAAUAUUAAUUCCAAAAAGUGCCCUGAGAAACAUAAUUUCUGUAGAACAAAAUCUCCAAAACAAUAGUUUUAAAUAUUCUACCUUAAACACUUAUUAGCAUAUUAAAGUUUCUAAUAACAAUGUUCAACUGAGAUUGUCUUAAGAUAUUCUUCCCAAGCAGCUCACUGCUUUGAGUAACACCUUUUUAAUACCUAAAAAUUAGUGUUCUGUAAAAUACAACUUGAAAAAUGCUGGCUGAUUUGACAAUAUCUAAGCUCCAUGCAUACAACAAUAAUAGUGAAAGAUAAUGAACAUUUUCAAGUCACUGCAUAUCACGUUACCAACUACUUUAAGUACUUUUCAUGUUAAUCUUCAUGAUAAUUCUAUGAAGUUAGUAUUACUAGCAUUCUCAUUUUUUUGAGGCUUAUGGAGGUUAACAUCUUUGCCCUAGCCCAUAUAUGAGUAAGUGGCAUUAGAAACUCUGGUUUGUGGCAUGGUACCAAUCCAAAUGCCCAUAAAUGAUAGACUAGAUAGAGAAAAUAUAUGUAGUACAUAUACACCAUGCAAUACUAUACAGCCAUAAAAAGGAAUGAGAUCAUGUGAUUUUGUUUGUUUGAUUUUUCAGGAACAUGGAUGAAGCUGGAAGCCAUUAUCCUCAGCAAACUAACACAGGAGCAGAAAACCAAACACUGCAUGUUCUCACUCAUAGCUACCAGUUUCUGGGCUGGCAUUGGAGGGGUGUCUGCAAGAGUCCUGUGAUGUAAACUGUUUUCCAGUCUGUCAGCUGUGGAUAGCAGCACAGUGUUUGGGCUGUCUUCUGGGUCCUACAGGAGUGAUCUGCUUCCUUUAAAGGGUCAGUGGAUUCUCUCUGCUUUCCUGGUAUGUUUCUGCAGUAGUUCUGGAUCUUACCCCAGUCAGACUUGAUCUUGGGAACGAGGUCUCCUCAGUGCAAAGACUCUUUAAAGUUCUCGGGCUGAGGUCACCUCUACCCCCUGAAAUGAGAGCUUGGAGGAUAUCCCUAAGCCAUCACCACAACCACCCCUCAAUACCACAAAAUACUAUUCAG